GGUUGAUUCUGGCUCAGAUUGAACGCUGGCGGGAUGCUUUACACAUGCAAGUCGAACGGCAGCACGGACUUCCAGUCUGGUGGCGAGUGGCGAACAGGUGAGUAAUGUAUCGGAACGUGCUAGUAGCGGGGGAUAACUACGCGAAAGCGUAGCUAAUACCACGCAUACGCCCUUCGAAGCGGGGACCUUCGGGCCUCGCACUAAUGAAACAGCCGAUAUCGGAUUAGCUAGUUGGUGAGGUAACGGCUCGCAAGGCGACGAUCCGUAGCUGGUUUGAAAGGACGACCAGCCACACUGGGACCGAAACACGGCCCAGACUCCUACGGGAGGCAGCAGUGGGGAAUUUUGGACAAUGGGGAAACCUGAUCCAGCCAUCCGCGUGUGCGAUGAAGGCCUUCGGGUUGUAAAGCACUUUUGGCGAAAAAGCGGCACGGGAUAAUACCCCGUGCAACUGACGGUACCUGCAGAAUAAAGCACCGAAGCUAACCCGUGCCAGCAGCCGCGUGUACGUAGGGUGCAAGCGUUAAUCGGAAUUACUGGGCGUAAAGCGUGCGCAGGCGGUUCCGGAAAGAAAGAUGUGAUCCCAGAGCUUAACUUUGGAACUGCAUUUUUAACUACCGAGCUAGAGUGUGUCAGAGGGAGGUGGGAUUCCGCGUGUAGCAGUGAAAUGCGUAGAUAUGCGGAGGAACACCGAUGGCGAAGGCAGCCUCCUGGGAUAACACUAACGCUCAUGCACAACGUGGGGAGCAAACAGGAUUAGAUACCCUGGUAGUCCACUUUAAACGAUGUCAACUAGCUGUUGGGGCCUUCGGGCCUUGGUAGCGCAGCUAACGCGUGAAGUUGACCGCCGCAGGAGGUACGGUCGCAAGAUUAAAACUCAAAGGUGACGAGGGACCCGCACAAGCGGUGGAUGAUGUGGAUUAAUUCGAUGCAACACCGAAAACCUUACCUACCCUUGACAUGUCUGGAAUCCCGAAGAGAUUUACAGGAAUGCUCACAAAGAGAACCGGAACACAGGUGCUGCAUGGCUGUCGUCAGCUCGUGUCGUGAGAUGUUGGGUUAAGUCCGCAGCGAAGCGCAGCCGCUGGCCGUGGUUGCUGCGAAGGGCACUCUAUUGAGACUGCCGGUAAGCAAACCGGAGGAAGGUGGGGAUGACGUCAAGUCCUCAUGGCCCAUAUGGGUAGGGCUUCACACGUCAUACAAUGGUCGGGACAGAGGGUCGCCAACCCGCGAGAGGCCAAUCCCAGAAACCCGAUCGUAGUCCGGAUCACCAGUCUGCAACUCGACUGCGUGGUCAGAAUCCUUAUUAAUCGCCAGAUCCAGCAUGUCGCGGUGAAUACGUUCCGGGUCUUGUACACACCGCCCGUCACACCAUGGGAGUGGGUUUUACCAAGUAGUUAGCCUAACCGUAAGGAGGGCAGAUUACCACGGUAGGAUUCAUGACUGGGGUGAAGUCAGCAACAAGGUAG
rnacentral:rRNA from 1 species